rnacentral:rRNA from 1 species
CAAUAGCGUAUAUUAAAGUUGUUGCGGUUGAGAAGCUCGUAGUUGGGUUUCCUGCUUAGAGCGAGCGGUCCGCCCUCUGGGUGAGCAUCUGCCUCUAUCUGAGCAACUUCCUCGGGGGGUGCUGUUGCACUUGAUUGUGUGGCGCACAGCCUGGGGCCUUUACUUUGAGGAAAUUAGAGUGCUUCAAGCAAGCCCAUGCCUUGAAUAUGUUAGCAUGGAAUAUUUCAUUUCAAGCAUCGGCUUGAUUUUGUUGGCUUCCAGAGCUGAUGCGGUGAUUAGUAGGGAUAGUUGGGGGCAUUGGUAUUUGACUGUCAGAGGUGAAAUUCUAGGAUUUGUCAAAGACUGACAACUGCGAAAGCAUUUGCCACAGAUGUUUUCAUUGA